ACACGUUUGAGGCGUCAUAUGCUAUAAUAGCUCAGCAUCAAAUAACGCCGUACCCGGCCUGCAGUCGAUCGUUGGUCCUGUGCGAUACGGCCCGUGAACCCCGUCAGGUCCGGAAGGAAGCAGCGGUAAGCGGUCAACCGUAUGCGCCGCAGACAAGCCUACGUCGGCUGCAGACCGGACACGGUGUUUUAUGU
rnacentral:SRP_RNA from 1 species